rnacentral:rRNA from 1 species
UGGGGAAUCUUGCGCAAUGGACGAAAGUCUGACGCAGCCAUGCCGCGUGAAUGAUGAAGGUCUUAGGAUUGUAAAGUUCUUUAGCCUGUGACGAUGAUGACGGUAACAGGAGAAUAAGCCCCGGCUAACUUCGUGCCAGCAGCCGCGGUAAUACGAAGGGGGCUAGCGUUGUUCGGAAUUACUGGGCGUAAAGCGCGCGUAGGCGGUUUUACAAGCCAGAGGUGAAAUGCCUGAGCUCAACUUAGGAAUUGCCUUUGGAACUGUAUGGCUUUGAGGACGAGAGAGGUGAGUGGAAUUCCCAGUGUAGAGGUGAAAUUCGUAGAUAUUGGGAAGAACACCGGUGGCGAAGGCGGCUCACUGGCUCGUUACUGACGCUGUAGCGCGA